UUUUUUUUUUUUUAAUGGAGAAAGGAACCCAUGAAAGCCAAAGUGACUAAGGGGCCACAAAAAUCAUAAUAUGGCCUGGGGCAGGAGGACAAGGGAUGUAAGGAGGGUGGCAGGUGACUGCCCUGACACCUGGGAGGCUUCCCACAGGGCAGAGAUGACUUCCCGUGGCAACCAGAGCUUGCUGUCAACCAGGCCCCUCACUGGCAGUGCCCAGGGUCCAAUGGAAAGGGGCAGCUGCUGAAUGGGCCCUAGAGUUGUCAUGGCAAUUAUGAUUGACAAUGGAGCAUCCUGUGAAUGCCAGCAAUGAUCCCUAAAAUGACCGCUGCCCUACAGGCUGGGUCCUGCAGGGAACGUUGGCAGGCUGCGCUCAAAAUGAGAAAGGGGGAAGGAGGAGGACUGGAUGCAGGAGUGGGAGGACCUGGUCUCUGUGCCUUUGGGUAGCAGUAAAUGAAUGUAAGUGAGGUCCAGGUGAGCACAUUUAUUUUAUAGUAAAUAUUUGGGUCCUUUUUGAUCUGAAGCUGCACAUCCUUCAUUCUUCUCUAUAAGUGGGGAAAAAAGAGGAGAAGAAAGGGAAGUACCACUCUGGCCUGGCCUAUUUCCCCAGAGCUCACUCUUCGUCUUGCCCUACCAUCUCCCCUUCUUCACCCAGCUCCCAAUGCCCUGUAAGGCCCCAAACUUUGCGUGUGGUGGGUAAGCAGCCCUACCGCAGUCACAGGCCACGUUCACUGAUCCAGAAAUUAAAGUGCCCGGAGAAAACAGGCUAAUCAAAUUAUACAUUCCUAGAACCAUUUAUAAGCCGGGUACAUUCUUUAAUCUUAAUUAGGAAUCUGAGCAGCUCCCACCGUCUCUGUAAUCAACAUUUAAACAGCACUGACCCCCAUGGCGCUAACCUUGAGAGCCACACACAGGUUGGUGAGAAGAGAACUGGGGCUGCCUCCUUGCUGGAGAAGGGGUGUUCGUGGAACUGAGAAAGGCUGGAUCACUCAGCUGCCCCCGCAACACCCCAUGUCUUCCCCUGCCUGAUGACACAUACAUACACACAGUCUCAAUCCAUCUAAUCCACCCACCAACCCCCACGCCCCCAAACCAGGACCAGGUUUAGAACCUUGUGUCUCUCACCUAACAAUUACGAUACUUUUCUAACUCGCCCAUUCUCUAAGCUACAACUCAAUGAUCUUUCUACAGAGCACUUCUGACCAUGUUGGUUCCAAUAAAACUCCUCAAAGUUCCUUAGAGCCUUUAAGACAUAAUCCACACCUGCCUCCCCUGAGCACAGUGC
rnacentral:lncRNA from 1 species